rnacentral:lncRNA from 11 species
CGUCCCUUUCUCUCAUUGGCUGUGAGGAGCGAAGCGGGACGCGCAUGCGUACCAAGGGAAGGCGGCCAUUUUGGCGGCCAUUCGUCCUGGAAAAAAGGCGGGAAACCUGAGGAGAACCUUCGUGGCUUCUGUCGCCGUCGAGCUCCUCCGGGCAGCCCCAGCGCGACCCUGGACCCUGGUUUCCGAAAUGCCGGAUGACGUGAACGACGAUAGCUUCGACAUUUUGAGACAAACCAUCGCGCAGUGCCUCAAUUUAUCCGGGCCCUUCGAGAAGCCAGGUAUAAAUCCUGAUGAAACCCAAUGGCAGGCGGCACGCAGACAAGACAAGGCGGCCGGGAUCAGUUUUACGGUGCCGGCGAAGUUCCUGGCAUGCGGCCCGCCCAAGAAAGGACCAUUCCACAAGCCGUGUCCUCCACAGAACCCUCGAGGGGCUUCCGGGACCACCAGUGGUGCCCAGGGGGGCGGAAGGGGCUCCGCGGCCUCCGUCCGUGAGCAACGUGGACCCUCGGAAAACCCUCGGGGCAUUUCUCCAGCAAGGCCUUCGACGUCCAGUGGAAUGACUUUGGCUUCUAGCGAUACAUCCGGUGCCUCACCUGGCCUUCCGCACGCACGGCAAGUGCCGCUGGCCAGAGCGGCUGAGGGCGAGGCUCCGUCGACCAGCCGCCGCACCCGAGACAUCCUGACGUCUUAUGCUCAUACAUUGCAGUGUAGUUCUGAGCAAGACCCCAUUCCUCUUGGGCCGAACACUGCACACAAGACCUGCACAUGGCCAGAAGACCGGGAGGAAGAUCUUAUGUUUUGUGCUGCCGCCGCAGAAGUCUCUCCCAGCGCUUCGCCUGCGCCUGUGAGGAAGGGGACGGAGGCACCCAGCAGAGGAAAGGUGCCAACCCAGAAGCACAAUGCGGAGGAGCAACUAGCUGUGAAGAAGGUGGUGGAGCCACCCAGCAGAGGAAAGCUGACAUUCAAGCUGGGACCAGGCUACUUCCUGCAGGCUGCUCGGGAGUUUGAAAGUAGUGAAGAAGAACAGGGGAGCAGCCCUGCACCUCAGAAGGCAGCGCAGGAGGACAACGUGGAGCAACUAGGCCGUCCUUCCUUGGUGGACGUCACCUCUCGCGGGCUCUUGUCUGGAAAUACAGUGGAGGACAGUACAGAAGACUUAAGCAAGAACAAAGGGCCAGAGGCUAAGAAAGGAGGCGGGAAAGUGGCCGGGAAGCAGAAACAUCUGGUCCUUGAUAUAGAUAACCCUGAGACGUCCACCACAUCAAUGCAGGCCACAGAAAAAGCUGCGAGGCAAAAUUCUGCCGGAGCGUUGCAAAACUGGUUAGAUAAAGUGCCGUGUCAGAAACCUCCACUGAAAUUAAUCAGAGCCCCCAAGAGGAUCCGGAUGGAGGAGACGCAAGUCCAACCUCAUCCUCCAGCGACGGAGCCCAACAGAGAACAACCUCUCUGCACGGAGAGAUCACGGGAACCUGAGAGGGCUCAAGAGGCAGGAGAAGGCACCCGUGGACGUCCACUGCAACAGACCGGAGUUCAAAUACUGGAACGUGUGGGAAGACGCCCUUUUCACGUGGCCUACGACCCACCGAUACCUGAACUCUGCGCUCAAGUGCGCGCUACAAAAAUCUCAAAAGCCUUGCUGGGUUGGGCAGCUUGCGUUCUCACCAAAGAAC